CCUACGGGAGGCUGCAGUGGGGAAUAUUGCGCAAUGGGCGAAAGCCUGACGCAGCGACGCCGCGUGAGGGAUGAAGGUCUUCGGAUCGUAAACCUCUGUCAGCAGGGAAGAACGGUCACUGUGCUAAUCAGCAGUGAAUUGACGGUACCUGCAAAGGAAGCACCGGCUAACUCCGUGCCAGCAGCCGCGGUAAUACGGAGGGUGCGAGCGUUAAUCGGAAUUACUGGGCGUAAAGCGCUCGUAGGCGGUAUGUCAAGUCAAGGGGGAAAUCCCCGCGCUCAACGUGGGAAGUGCCUUUGAAGCGGGAAAACGGGAGUGUGUGAGAGGAUAGUGGAAUUCCAGGUGUAGGAGGGAAAGCCGUAGAUAUCUGGAGGAACAUCAGUGGCGAAGGCGACUAGCUGGAACAUAACUGACGCUGAGGAGCGAAAGCGUGGGUAGCAAACAGGAUUAGAUACACGGGUAGUC
rnacentral:rRNA from 1 species